rnacentral:rRNA from 1 species
UACGAAGGGGGCUAGCGUUGCUCGGAAUCACUGGGCGUAAAGGGUGCGUAGGCGGGUCUUUAAGUCAGAGGUGAAAGCCUGGAGCUCAACUCCAGAACUGCCUUUGAUACUGAGGAUCUCGAGUUCGGGAGAGGUGAGUGGAACUGCGAGUGAAGAGGUGAAAUUCGUAGAUAUUCGCAAGAACACCAGUGGCGAAGGCGGCUCACUGGCCCGAUACUGACGCUGAGGCACGAAAGCGUGGGGAGCAAACAGG